rnacentral:rRNA from 1 species
GGAGGCAGCAGUAGGGAAUCUUCGGCAAUGGACGAAAGUCUGACCGAGCAACGCCGCGUGAGCGAUGAAGGCCUUCGGGUCGUAAAGCUCUGUUGUCAGAGAAGAACAAGUACCGGAGUAACUGCCGGUACCUUGACGGUACCUGACCAGAAAGCCACGGCUAACUACGUGCCAGCAGCCGCGGUAAUACGUAGGUGGCAAGCGUUAUCCGGAAUUAUUGGGCGUAAAGCGCGCGCAGGCGGUUCCUUAAGUCUGAUGUGAAAGCCCACGGCUCAACCGUGGAGGGUCAUUGGAAACUGGGGAACUUGAGUGCAGGAGAGAAAAGUGGAAUUCCACGUGUAGCGGUGAAAUGCGUAGAGAUGUGGAGGAACACCAGUGGCGAAGGCGGCUUUUUGGCCUGUAACUGACGCUGAGGCGCGAAAGCGUGGGGAGCAAACAGGAUUAGAUACCCUGGUAGUCCACGCCGUAAACGAUGAGUGCUAGGUGUUGGGGGGUUCCACCCUCAGUGCUGACGUUAACACAUUAAGCACUCCGCCUGGGGAGUACGGCCGCAAGGCUGAAACUCAAAGGAAUUGACGGGGGCCCGCACAAGCAGUGGAGCAUGUGGUUUAAUUCGAAGCAACGCGAAGAACCUUACCAGGUCUUGACAUCCUCUGACCACUCUAGAGA